GAGAAGCUUCUUCGGAAGUGGACAGUGGCAGACGGGUGAGUAACGCGUGGGAAUCUGCCCAGAGGUUCGGGACAACCAUUGGAAACGAUGGCUAAUACCGGAUAAGCCCGCAAGGGGAAAGAUUUAUCGCCUUUGGAUGAGCCCGCGUAAGAUUAGCUAGUUGGUGGGGUAAAAGCCUACCAAGGCUACGAUCUUUAGCUGGUCUGAGAGGAUGAUCAGCCACAUUGGGACUGAGACACGGCCCAGACUCCUACGGGAGGCAGCAGUGGGGAAUAUUGCGCAAUGGGGGAAACCCUGACGCAGCCAUGCCGCGUGAGUGACGAAGGCCUUAGGGUUGUAAAGCUCUUUCGCUAGGGAAGAUAAUGACGGUACCUAGUAAAGAAGCCCCGGCUAACUCCGUGCCAGCAGCCGCGGUAAUACGGAGGGGGCUAGCGUUGUUCGGAAUCACAGGGCGUAAAGCGCGCGUAGGCGGACUGAUUAUUUGGGGGUGAAAGCCCGGAGCU
rnacentral:rRNA from 1 species